ACCCGCUGAACUUAAGCAUAUCAAUAAGCGGAGGAAAAGAAACCAACAGGGAUUGCCCCAGUAACGGCGAGUGAAGCGGCAACAGCUCAAAUUUGAAAUCUGGCCCCCCGCGGGCCCGAGUUGUACUUUGGAGAGGACGCUUCUGGCGCGGCGCCGUCCGAGUUCCCUGGAACGGGACGCCGGAGAGGGUGAGAGCCCCGUACGGGCGGCCGCCUAGCCUCUGCGAAGCUCCUUCGACGAGUCGAGUAGUUUGGGAAUGCUGCUCAAAAUGGGAGGUAAAUUUCUUCUAAAGCUAAAUACCGGCCAGAGACCGAUAGCGCACAAGUAGAGUGAUCGAAAGAUGAAAAGCACUUUGAAAAGAGGGUCAAACAGUACGUGAAAUUGUUGAAAGGGAAGCGCCUGUGGCCAGACUUGCGCCCCGCGGACCACCCGGCGCCUCGCGCGCCGGGGCACGCCAGCGGGGCGCAGGCCAGCAUCGGCUCUCUCGGGGGGACAAAGGCCGCGGGAACGUAGCGCCCUCGCGGCGUAUUAUAGCCCGCGGCGCCAUGCCCCCGGGGGGGCCGAGGACCGCGCUCCGGCAAGGAUGCUGGCGUAAUGGCCACCGGCGACCCGUCUUGAAACACGGACCAAGGAGUCAAGCAUUGGGGCGAGUGUCUGGGUGGCAAGCCCGCACGCGGAAUGAAAGUGAACGCAGGUGGGAGCUUCGGCGCACCACCGACCGAUCCUGAUGUCCUCGGAUGGAUUUGAGUAGGAGCCCCGCCGCUUGGACCCGAAAGAUGGUGAACUAUGCCUGUAUAGGGUGAAGCCAGAGGAAACUCUGGUGGAGGCCCGCAGCGGUUCUGACGUGCAAAUCGAUCGUCAAAUAUGGGCAUGGGGGCGAAAGACUAAUCGAACCAUCUAGUAGCUGGUUACCGCCGAAGUUUCCCUCAGGA
rnacentral:rRNA from 1 species